rnacentral:tRNA from 1 species
CAGUAAAUAGUUUAAAUAAAAUGUUAGUUUUGGAGACUAGAGAUAGGUUUUACUUUUUGCUGA